ACACGGAGCCCACCCGGGGCUGGGGGCACAGCUGGGCACGGCCCGGGGUGGGCACAGUUUGGGGUGACUGGGGGGGCUGUGGCCCAGCCUCAUCCCCAGUGGCACAGCUGUGCAGGGCAGGUGACACUGCCAGCAGUGAGCCAGGGAGUGCCCCGGUGUGCUGACAAGCACCCAGGGAACAGAGGGCACACAGGGCACUGCAUGGACACGAGGGUACAAAGGGCUGGGCUAAAGAACAAGGACGGAUGCCUGAACCUUCUGAUGGGACAGGAUGUUGCUCUGCAUGGGCUGAAGCUUUCUGAAAUUGUAUGGGGACACUCUGGGUAUUGAGGCCACCUCAACAGUGACAGCCCUGCCCAGAAACCCUGUCCUGGGCUGACCCCACAGCCUGGGCACCAGGGGACAGGGAUUGCCCCCUCUGCCCUGCUCAGACCAUGAAAAAUCCAGUUUCACCCUAGAGCAUUAGCUUGUCCAAGGAUGGAAAGGAUUCACCUGUUUAACCCAGCAGAUCCUUUAGCUGGAGCCAGGGAAUGAACUGGGAAACUCAAAGAACUCUGCAGAAGGAAUUACAGUUACUGAGGAAACCUGGAUCCAAAUUCCCAAAGCAAUCCAGGACUUUUAAGUGCCCUGGGGAAGAUUCCUGAACACAGAACAAUUCCAGAAAACCCCAAGUGGCACCACGGGAAUAUCAAUCUCCUUCAGCACCUCAAGCCCCAAGAACUUCAUUUUUACCAAGAGCUCCCUCCCAGGAGGACCCUGGACAUGGAGCUUUAGCAUCCAGGAGCUGCUCAGAGAAGGAAAAGCACCAAAUUUACACAGGGCUGCUGGAAUAAAGGAUAAAAAGGAAUAAAACUGAAUCCACUUCCCAGAGGGUUUUGUACAAAAUUGGUGCUGACACACAAGAAUAGCAGGGCACAGGCAGAUUAGGGAAGGAAAACUGACCAAAAAACCUCUCUGGACUCAAAGAAAGACCAUGAAACACAAUUAAUUGUUACUAUUUAUGUUAUCAGACACAAGAAUUGACUUUUAGAUGCAGAGGCCUGGACUCAAAUAAAGGAUUCACAGAAACUCAUCAGCCUGGGGAGAGCCCAAACCCCUCCCUUGAGCUCAUUGUGUUCCCAGUGUCACAAAUCCAGGAGUGAGGUGUGGGAAAUGAAUUUGUAGAAAAUUCUUAAAGUCUGAUAGAAGGUUUACAUAGAAUGUAUCUGUGUGUGUCUGUGUGUAUCUGUGUCUUAUCUCUGAGACAAGAAAUGCUGACUUAGAAAUGCCCUGGAAUAGGACAGACAGUGCUGAGAGAGAAAUGGAACUAGAAACAAGUUUCAAAGGGUGGCUUUGCAAAUAAGACUGGAUACUUUGGAGAAAUAGAACUGUGAAAGAUGCAUUGUAAUAAAGUUCAUGAGGGGUAAUUUUAGAUUAUUUGCUUUAAGGUAUUUACAGCAUGGUGUAGCAAAAGCUGAUAAGCUAAGAAACACUUAUAAUGUAUUGUAAUUUUAAAAUAGUUACUUUUUCAUUGUAAUAGUGUGAAUUAUAACAUCUGUACUGUCUCACCCUUCACAUGAGACUGAAAAUGGAAUAAAGUUUUUAAAACACCUCUCAGUUGCCCCAUCUCUGGGUCAGAAAAAGGCUUAAUCCAACACUGAGGGAGACAAAUAUAUUUUUCCAUGUCGGGAAGACAUUGAGAAGUGCAACAAAAAAAAA